AUGCUCCCUUUGACAAUAACUUCAACUUGAGGGGUGGGCUGAAAAAAUAGCGACAGCUCAUUUCCUUAAACAUGGCCAGCUACCCCAGUACAUUAAAUACAGCCGUCUCUUUCUCAACUCUUAUUUACGAAUCUAAAUUAAUCAAUUGACUGAAAAAUGCUUAAUCUGUUCUUUUGCUCAUUGACCUUCUAAAUGAUACACCAGAUUUUACAGGGUUAACCCAUACUAAUUUUGCUGAGUCAGUCUCCCUACUGCUACUAACAUUAUUACUACUACCUAAAUUUCUACAUUGUUUACUCGAGUCACAAGGCAGAAAAUGAUCACCUUCCUUGGCUGCCAAAUCCACCACCCUACUACUCCCACUAGGUACCCUAUCCCAAUCGCCACCCUCCAUUGCUGAAUCUGCAAAAUCAGUUCGAGACCUGCUUGUCUCUGGUGAAUGCCUCGAGCACAAGGGGGAAGAAGAAGAGGAUGAACAAGUGUCAGAAUCAGAUGUGUUCCUCCAAGAGUUGUUCCAGCCACCAAAAAUGUAAUCUGAAAGAUCAUCAGUACUUGUAGAAUCUCGGGUGCUCUCAGUGCUGCAUGAACCCUCGUCUGAAUUGCUGCUGGUAAAAGAAUAAUUGUCGCUUGAUGAGUCCUCUUCUAAAAUCCUUUGAAGUCGGUGGAAUUUCAGAUAGAAAGAUUCAACGCUAGCCAAACUAUCUGGAGGAAUCGAAUUGGGAUGCAACUGGAAAACACUAGAACGAGUAGAUGUGGAUCUUGAAUUCAAUGCAGCAUUCUUCUCAAUGAUUCUGGAUGGACUGCCUUUCAUUCUUGGAUCAGGAGAUACUAUUCUGUUCCUUAUCAAUCUCGGAGCCCUGGGUGAGCACCUUGCAUAAAGAAGCAUGUA
rnacentral:misc_RNA from 1 species